rnacentral:rRNA from 1 species
GACGAACGCUGGCGGCGUGCCUAAUACAUGCAAGUUGAGCGCUGAAGGUUGGUACUUGUACCAACUGGAUGAGCAGCGAACGGGUGAGUAACGCGUGGGGAAUCUGCCUUUGAGCGGGGGACAACAUUUGGAAACGAAUGCUAAUACCGCAUAAAAACUUUAAACACAAGUUUUAAGUUUGAAAGAUGCAAUUGCAUCACUCAAAGAUGAUCCCGCGUUGUAUUAGCUAGUUGGUGAGGUAAAGGCUCACCAAGGCGAUGAUACAUAGCCGACCUGAGAGGGUGAGCGGCCACAUUGGGACGGAGACACGGCCCAAACUCCUACGGGAGGCAGCAGUAGGGAAUCUUCGGCAAUGGACGAAAGUCUGACCGAGCAACGCCGCGGGAGUGAAGAAGGGUUUCGGAUCGUAAAACUCUGUUGGUAGAGAAGAACGUUGGUGAGAGUGGAAAGCUCAUCAAGUGACGGUAACUACCCAGAAAGGGACGGCUAACUACGUG